rnacentral:rRNA from 1 species
AACGAACGCUGGCGGCAUGCCUAACACAUGCAAGUCGAACGAGACCUUCGGGUCUAGUGGCGCACGGGUGCGUAACGCGUGGGAACCUGCCCUUAGGUUCGGAAUAACUCCCCGAAAGGGGUGCUAAUACCGGAUAAUGUCUUCGGACCAAAGAUUUAUCGCCUUUGGAUGGGCCCGCGUUGGAUUAGCUAGUUGGUAGGGUAAAAGCCUACCAAGGCGACGAUCCAUAGCUGGUCUGAGAGGAUGAUCAGCCACACUGGGACUGAGACACGGCGCAGACUCCUACGGGAGGCAGCAGUGGGGAAUAUUGGACAAUGGGCGAAAGCCUGAUCCAGCAAUGCCGCGUGAGUGAUGAAGGCCUUAGGGUUGUAAAGCUCUUUUACCCGGGAUGAUAAUGACAGUACCGGGAGAAUAAGCUCCGGCUAACUCCGUG